GACGAACGCUGGCGGCGUGCUUAACACAUGCAAGUCGAACGGAAAGGCCUACUUUCCCUUGUGGAUUGCGGGUACUCGAGUGGCGAACGGGUGAGUAACACGUGAGUGAUCUGCCCCCAACUUGGGUAUAAGCCUGGGAAACUGGGUCUAAUUCCCGAUAGGACUGCAGGGUGGUGCCUGUGGUGGAAAACGAUUUUCUAGUGGUUGGAGAUGAGCUCGCGGCCUAUCAGCUUGUUGGUGGGGUAAUGGCCUACCAAGGCGGCGACGGGUAGCCGGCCUGAGAGGGUGGACGGCCACAUUGGGACUGAGAUACGGCCCAGACUCCUACGGGAGGCAGCAGUGGGGAAUAUUGCACAAUGGGCGGAAGCCUGAUGCAGCGACGCCGCGUGGGGGAUGACGGCCUUCGGGUUGUAAACUCCUUUCGACCGCGAGGAAGCCACCUGGUUGGAAGGGUGGUGACGGUAGUGGUAGAAGAAGCACCGGCUAACUACGUG
rnacentral:rRNA from 1 species